GAAUAUUGCACAAUGGGGGAAACCCUGAUGCAGCAACGCCGCGUGAGUGAUGAAGGCCUUCGGGUUGUAAAGCUCUGUCUUUUGGGACGAUAAUGACGGUACCAAAGGAGGAAGCCACGGCUAACUACGUGCCAGCAGCCGCGGUAAUACGUAGGUGGCAAGCGUUGUCCGGAUUUACUGGGCGUAAAGGAUGCGUAGGCGGAUAUUUAAGUGGGAUGUGAAAUACCCGGGCUCAACCUGGGAACUGCAUUCCAAACUGGAUAUCUAGAGUGCAGGAGAGGAGAGUGGAAUUCCUAGUGUAGCGGUGAAAUGCGUAGAGAUUAGGAAGAACACCAGUGGCGAAGGCGACUCUCUGGACUGUAACUGACGCUGAGGCAUGAAAGCGUGGGGAGCAAACA
rnacentral:rRNA from 1 species